rnacentral:rRNA from 1 species
UUAAGAGAACAGAGUCCCUGAACACACCCGAUCUCAUCUGAUCUUGGAGGCUAAGUAGGGUCGGGCCUGGUUAGUACUUGGAUGGGAGAGAAUGGAGCUAUAUAUCUAUCCUAAC